UACGUAGGGGGCAAGCGUUGUCCGGAUUUAUUGGGCGUAAAGAGCGUGUAGGCGGCCAUACAGGUCCGUUGUGAAAACUCGAGGCUCAACCUCGAGACGUCGAUGGAAACCGUAUGGCUAGAGUCCGGAAGAGGAGAGUGGAAUUCCUGGUGUAGCGGUGAAAUGCGCAGAUAUCAGGAAGAACACCAGUGGCGAAGGCGGCUCUGUCGG
rnacentral:rRNA from 1 species